UGAGUUUUUUUAAAAUUUUCUACCAGCUGGAUGGAUUAUAUAUAUUACAUCACGACGGAUGCUGACCAGAGUUUUUGGUGGUAGCAUCAAUUAAACACGCAUUGCCGACCUUAUGGAAUUCUCUUCUUUAAACACGCAUUGCCGACAUUAUGGAAUUCUCCUCUGUAUCGUUGUACUUACCCAAAAUCCAAAUCAUUCUGUUUGCGGAUUAGCAUGCCAUGCUGCAUAUUUAGGGUGCCUAAGUGCGUGUCAAUUGUUGUGAAAUGGAUA
rnacentral:lncRNA from 1 species